UUUUCGUACCACGGCGAGGCCGGAUUCCUGUUUUAUCAUGAAUAUUCAUUAGGCAGGGUCGGGGAAAGUCUCGAUUCUCUUAAAUAUUCAUAUCGAGGUGGGAAUGCACGACGCGCGCUAUACUCGCACAAAGUGAGAAGAUUUAGUUCACGGAGAAUGCAUAUGGAUUGAAACUGAAGAGCUGGAAGGAGGACAUUACAACAUCUCUUAUAUUUGCAAGAUGAAGCAGAAAGUCCCAUGCAGGAUGAUGCCUCUCUACAGUGGAUGAUGAAGGCAUUCUGGUUUGCAAACUCAGGAGAGGAACAAAGAACAGAUGUUGACGGGAUCAUAUCUAGAGAUGCGGGCCUACUACACUUCAUACGAGCAAGUGUGCUAAUAUACAUGAAGACUUGGGUUAUAUUUUUUUCUGAAAACUAGGCUACAACUUUAGUGAUGGAUGCAGAAGAUAUCUACACGAGACUACGUCUUAAAGAUGCCACCCUCAUAUAAUGAAAAAGGACAAUAGAGAUGGGUUUAAACUGGAAUAUUUACAUGAUAUUUAUUUGUUAUUUGU